GCAUAUCAAAUAAGCGGAGGAAAAGAAACCAACAGGGAUUGCCUUAGUAACGGCGAGUGAAGCGGCAAAAGCUCAAAUUUGAAAUCUGGCACCUUCGGUGUCCGAGUUGUAAUUUGAAGAAGGUAACUUUGGAGUUGGCUCUUGUCUAUGUUCCUUGGAACAGGACGUCACAGAGGGUGAGAAUCCCGUGCGAUGAGAUGCCCAAUUCUAUGUAAAGUGCUUUCGAAGAGUCGAGUUGUUUGGGAAUGCAGCUCUAAGUGGGUGGUAAAUUCCAUCUAAAGCUAAAUAUUGGCGAGAGACCGAUAGCGAACAAGUACAGUGAUGGAAAGAUGAAAAGAACUUUGAAAAGAGAGUGAAAAAGUACGUGAAAUUGUUGAAAGGGAAGGGCUUGAGAUCAGACUUGGUAUUUUGCGAUCCUUUCCUUCUUGGUUGGGUUCCUCGCAGCUUACUGGGCCAGCAUCGGUUUGGAUGGUAGGAUAAUGACUAAGGAAUGUGGCUCUACUUCGGUGGAGUGUUAUAGCCUUGGUUGAUACUGCCUGUCUAGACCGAGGACUGCGUCUUUUGACUAGGAUGUUGGCAUAAUGAUCUUAAGCCACCCGUCUUGAAACACGGACCA
rnacentral:rRNA from 1 species